UUAUCUAAAACUUACCGACCGAUCGUAGACAAACGUGGAGUGAGACGAGGUAGAGUGGAAAAAGGAAAACCAAGAAGAUGAAAGGUGAAAUAGAGCAGAAAUUUAGCAACAAUGAAGAGAAAAAUGGAAAGAGGGUGGAGAGAUUUUGGGGAAAGAAAAAAAAAAGAAAAAAUGAACAGAAUAGUUGAUAACCACCCCAAUCCCUUAUUUCUCUCCAUCAAACUCCCCACUAAAUCCACUACUCAGAUUUUUAGUCCAUUUCAAACUCUCCUGGACGCACGAGCAAAAAUAAUGCCCAUGCCAAGAUUCGAACACAGGACCUCUUUCACACCAACACUCCAGUUAUCCAUCAAAC
rnacentral:lncRNA from 1 species